UCUAUGUGUGCCCGGAUUAGAAAAUGGAUGGAUGCAUGGAUGGAUGGAUAUUACUCAUUUUUUGGUAAAAAUUCAAUUCGACAUGUUUUUUGACAGGCAAAAUUUGGCCGCGUAAACAUGAGGUAACCAAGAAAUAUACUCAGAGUAAUAGUUGUUUAAUUUUACAGUAGAUUGUAUUAUUUCUAUCAAUGUUUUAAAAGAGGAAUUGGAAGUUAGUCGAGCUAUAAAGAAAUGUCGUCGACCUCAGACUCUUUCCCCAUAUUCGAUUUUAUUUAUUGUGCAAAACACCUCACUGGACUGAAUGUCCUGGUCGCUAUCUCAAUGAAAAUGCUUGCGAGCUGAGCCGUGACAGACUUGUUUGGCUGUGUCACUUCCUCUGCCAUUUUUUUUUCUUCGACUUUUACUUGAGGAACUUUCACAACCCGUCAUUUGCUUGCGGCAGCCUACGAAGGAAUGAAAAAGAAAAAAAAAGAAAGAAAGAAAACAGCUCCCAACGACCGACACGGGCUGCGUUACAACUUCAACAAAGCCUUUUAUUUCCCCCUCCUUCUCGUCGUCUUCUCUGCAGCCCCAGCUCAGAUGCCAGAGUGAUGGGAGCUUGCUUGUCAACGUGCACUCUUUGCACUGCUAUUACUCCGCAUUAUGUAAGCCUGGUAUUUUUUUUUUUUUUUUUGUGGGCUGCACAGGCAAAGCUCGGAGAGCAAAUUAACGUUCUUUCUGCCUCUCUCAAAACUCUUAGCAGGCAGCAUGUGCAGGAAGCCAGUUUGAGUGUGGUGAAGGCAGGCUGCCCGUAGAUUUCCCGAGGAAGGAAUGUCACGCCGCGCAGCUGAUGCGCCGGCGGCCAUGCCAGCCAGGCCUGAGGAGCGCUGACGGUUCAACGGCUCUGCCCGAACGACUCCCCACUUUGCUUGGUGAUCACAGUGAAUUAGCCCAGCAUUGCAGACAGUUGCACUUUCUACUGAAGCCUCAGGAGGCUUACCCACGUGAGCGACAUUGUGAACUGCUAAAUAAUGGAUGGAAAAAAAAAACACGUGUGCUUAGAGAAUACAAUGUAUAAAUGAUUGAAAGUAACUUGAUUAAAAAAAAAAAAAAAAACAGCCGUCAUUCC